rfam:Otolemur garnettii contig070271, whole genome shotgun sequence.
GUGCCUGUGGCUCAAAGGGGUAGGGCGCUAGCCCUAUAUGCUGGAGGUGGCAGGUUCAAACCCAGCCCUGGCCA